ensembl:lncRNA
GCUGGAGACUUUCUUGCUGCACAUCCCUCCUUAGUGGAGGUCUUCUAAAGGCUAGAAACUGUCCAUCACACUGUAUGUGUAGUGAAGAUUCUCCUUGUAAGAAGUACGCUCAAAAAGAGUGCCCACAUCCAAGAAUUGGUGCUUAAACUCCAUAGGAAGGCUUCAGCCAAGAUUUUCCAGCAAGGAGAGAUGCACUGAGCAUCUGUACCUUCGCUAUGGAGAACAGUCUUUGGAUGCAGCAGGAAGGAAGCCCCAUUGUCACUGCUGAGAGAAGGUAUUGUGCCACUGAUGGAGCACUGCUAGCAAUGCAAAGGAUCUGCUCCUCCUUUUCUGCAGUUGGUUGGAAAAUCCUGAGACAAGCAUCAAGUCUUCCAGUUCCAUGUAGCUGAAGCAAUCUCUAGCAUCAAUUUUCUUUGCCUGACAAGCUAGCCUCAUGAAACCAUGUAGCUCCAGGUUCUUAUGGCUUUCAAAGUAAAACCAUAUAUAUAAAAUACAAAUGUAUGAAAUACAAAAAUGAUUUGGGCCAAGAUUUGCUCACGUGGGACCUGAAUGACACAAAAACCUUGGUAAUGACAGUUUAGGUUUGAAUACCAGUAAGCACAGAAAAGAGCAGGCAGACUUCAUACGAUGGAAGAAGAUUUCACUUUAAGUGGAAGUGUUGCACAGCUGCAUGCACCAUCUUAAUAUACCAUAAAAUACAUAAAUCCAAGUUCCUAACUUGUGUAAGCAAUUACUGUUUCAUCAAGUCGAUUUACUGCAGAACUGAAACAUACCAUCCAUGUGGCAGUUCUACCAGAAACAGACUAGAUUCUCUGCCUGUAUAUACGAGUAGUUUUAUAACUCAUAAAUGUAUUUACUGGGGAAAAAAAUAGAACAGAGAGCAGGCAGAAAUGCAUGUCCUCACAGAAAACUGUUGUAAACUUGAAGAAAAAUAUAAUUUUUAUGCAAGUUUUUUAUACAGCCACUGCACAACUUUAAGUAUAUGUAUACGCAUCUUAAGCAUAGUACUGUAUAGAAUGUUUUAAUCUUCUGAUAGUGAGAAUGUCAAACUUAAGUUCUGCAGGAUUUGAAGGAUGGAUGUUACAUUCAAUGCCUAUUUCUUCUUUUAUUUUUUUCUUUAGCUUUAACUUUUGCAUGGCUUCCCAAUUCAUAUUUUGUCUAAGGAAAGUCAUAGAACAGAGAAAAAAAAAAUUAUCUGUCUCUGGAUUGCUGACUUUAGUAACGGGUCAGUUUCUUUCCAAGCCACAUCAAGCUCAGACAGCUUUCUGGCAAUUUCAGCUCAGCUGCAAACAGCCAAGAUCAUGUGAGAUGAUCCAAAAGAUUCCUAAAAUAUUAGAUAUGCCUAUAUAUAUAUUUCAGACUAAAUAUUUUCAUGAAUGUAAUCACAUGAAAGAAAAAACCUAACUCAUAUGAAAACUUGGCUUCAUAUACGUUAGACUCUACUUAUAAACUAAUAAGCUGUAUAAAUUGGAUUGCCUGCUUCUUAGUGGCCUACGCAGACUUUCUCAGCUGCAGUAAAAUCCAGCUACAAUGAGGUUAUAUCCCACACUGUAUCGAUAAUUUUUUGCCACUUUGAAGAGACCACAUGGUCUGUUACAAUGAGAAUCCAUCUUUCCUGGUGAGAGUCUGAUCCAUAGCCAUUGAGGUUUCUGAAGUAGAGGUCAUUAUGCUAACUGCUUCAUAAUGUAUUUGUGGACAGUUUGUACAGAAGUUGUUGCCUCUUCAGAAACAAAUAUCAGUACAAAUUUCUGUGGAUCUACAAAUAAUAACUUAUUUUUU